UUUACACCGGGAUAUAAAAAAAAAGGGUUUGAAAUUCUCUGCAAGGGGGGAAGAGAGGGGUUUCGGUCACGGCCUUCGGCCACAGGGCAGCUCAUGCUCACGCGUCAUACGCGCCACCACACGCGGUGGUCGGAGGGUUAAAAACCCUCCGUCUUUUCAAGCGAAAUACGGAUGAUUGAGGAGAAGAAGGGGCACUGAUCACGGCGUCAAUUUGCGUCUCAAUUACAACGAGAUACGGGGCCUAGAAUCACGGCACCGAUGAAGGGUAGUCGAAACGACGCAAGGUGAAACGGCGUGACUGAUGGGGUGCUUACGGCGCGAAGCUUCUGGAAACCCUAGGGUUUCCAGAUUCUGUUUAGGCAUUGGGCCUUGUUUUGGUUGGGUCUUGUUUGGGCCAUUGAGUUUUAGGUUUGAGGUGUAACGGGUGCUGGGUAGUGGUAGGCUUACUGGGUUGUAACCGGGUGUAGGGAUUUUGGGCUUCAAAGAUACCGAACUUUGGACUUUUGUAAAUGGACUUAUUGAUGGAUUGUUUUUUAUUUUAUAUUUAUUUAUUUAUUUAUUAAUUUA